UACGUAGGGUGCAAGCGUUGUCCGGAAUUAUUGGGCGUAAAGAGCUCGUAGGCGGUUUGUCGCGUCGAAUGUGAAAACCCGGGGCUCAACCCCGGGCCUGCAUUCGAUACGGGCAGACUAGAGUUCGGUAGGGGAGUCUGGAAUUCCUGGUGUAGCGGUGAAAUGCGCAGAUAUCAGGAGGAACACCGGUGGCGAAGGCGGUCUGCGUGGGCAGUGAGCUGACGCUGAGGCGCGACAGCGUGGGGAGCAACAGG
rnacentral:rRNA from 1 species